GAAAUGCGAUAAGUAGUGUGAAUUGCAGAAUUCAGGGAAUCAUCGAAUCUUUGAACGCACAUUGCGCCCCUUGGUAUUCCAUGGGGCAUGCCUGUUCGAGCGUCAUUUGUACCCUCAAGCUCUGCUUGGUGUUGGGUGUUUGUCCCCGUCUCCGCGCGUGGACUCGCCCCAAAGUGAUUGGCAGCCGGCGUACUGGUCCCGGAGCGCAGCACAUGUCGCGCAAACGAGUGCCUUGGUACGGCGGCGUCCAUAAGCCCCUCUCUCACGCUCUUGACCUCGGAUCAGGUAGGGAUACCCGCUGAACUUAAGC
rnacentral:misc_RNA from 1 species